GUAGGGAAUAUUGCGCAAUGGACGAAAGUCUGACGCAGCGACGCCGCGUGAGUGAUGAAGGCCUUAGGGUCGUAAAGCUCUGUUGAAUGGGAAGAAAAAAAUGACGGUACCAUUCGAGGAAGGACCGGCUAACUUCGUGCCAGCAGCCGCGGUAAUACGAGGGGUCCUAGCGUUGUUCGGAAUCAUUGGGCGUAAAGGGUGUGUAGGUGGCCAUGUAAGUCAGGUGUGAAAGCGCCGGGCUAAACCCGGGAAGUGCACUUGAUACUGCGUGGCUUGAGUACCGAAGAGGGUAGUGGAAUUCCAGGUGUAGUGGUGAAAUACGUAGAUAUCUGGAGGAACACCGGUGGCGAAGGCGGCUACCUGGUCGAGUACUGACACUGAGACACGAAAGCAUGGGGAUCAAACAGGAUUAGAAACCCGUAGUCC
rnacentral:rRNA from 1 species